rnacentral:ribozyme from 1 species
AGUCGGUCGGGCGACUAUAAACAGUCCUUAAGCGCGACGCGUUGCCAGAGUGAUCUGGCAGGUGGAA